AUGUUGCUCGGUUUGAGUGACAUCGCCCGCCUCGUCUCCCUCACCCCCGACCGCUUCCGCCGUAGAGCCAUAGUCUCCAAGCUGCAGUACUACCUGCCCCUCUUCGGCUCCUCCCACAACUUCCUCCGGCUGCUCAAGCGCUCAUCCCACCUUCUGUCGUCGGACAUCGAUAAGUUGGUCAAGCCCAAUGUUGCCUUCCUGAGGGAGUGCGGGCUAGGUGAUUGUGAUAUUGCCAAGCUGUGUAUCCGGGAGCCGAGGAUGCUCAUCACCAACCCGGAGCGCGUCCGGGCAAUGGUGGCACGUGCCGAAAGAUUGGGUGUGCCCCGUGGCUCUGGGAUGCUCAGGCAAGCGCUGCAGGCUGUCGCGUUUCUCAGCGAGGAGAAGGUUGCCGCCAAAUUGGACUACUUGAAGAAUACUUUCAGGUGGUCUGAUGCCCAAGUGAGCAUUGCUGUGCGCAAGUAUCCGGGUGUGCUGAGGAAGUCAAAGGGACCUCUGAAGCGCAGGUCCGAGUUCCUGUGCUCUAAGGUGGGGCUGGAACCCAUGUACAUUGCUCAUCGAUCGGAAAUACUUUCAUAUAGUAUGGAGGGCCGACUCAGACCUCGGUACUAUGUUAUCAAGUUUCUCAAGCAAAAUGGACUGCUAGACCGUGACUUGAGCUUAUAUUCUGCGGUCAAGAUGACUGAGAAGGUAUUUGUGGAGAAGCUCAUAUGCCCUCACAAGGAAGCCGCACCACACCUUGCUGAAGAUUAUGCAGCAGCCUGCAAAGGGGAAGUGCCUACUAAUUUCAGAUUUACAUGA
rnacentral:rRNA from 1 species